GCCUGUAUUUAUACCCUGCAAAAAAAAAAAAAAAUCAAGAAGCUGAAUAUUCUUUCAGCAGUGACAGAUAGUGAGAAGACUGAUCAAACAGCAACAGAGAUGUUACUCUGGGAAUUGUUUGAUUUUACUGCUGGGGAAUACCAAAUAGAUUCUGUUCUCCCAUUUACAUGAACCAACAGCUUCUCUUCACUGAAAACGCUACAGAAAAGCUUCUUGGUUUGAUGGAUAGCCAAGCACAUUCUAUUAAGUGGAAAGAGGAAGACCAACUAUUUAUGUGGAGAAAGAAAGGAGAAAUGUAAAAUGUAAGAUCAGGAACCAGGACUAUUCUCAAGGAGACAACUUUGUACCAAAUCCAGGAAUGACAGUUUCCAGUAGAAAGAAUUAGUAUGCAGACUGGCGUUUGGAAAGCUCAACAUAUAAAGUAUGAAGC